CCUACGGGGGGCAGCAGUAGGGAAUAUUGCUCAAUGGGGGAAACCCUGACGCAGCAACGCCGCGUGGGGGAUGAAGGUUUUCGGAUCGUAAAACCCUUUUGUUAGAGAAGAACAAGAAGGUAUGUAACGAAUAAGCACCGGCUAACACCGUGCCAGCAGCCGAGGUAAUACGGAGGGCGCAAGCGUUAGGCGGAAUGACUGGGCGUAAAGAGCGCGGAGGCGGGUUAUCAAGUACGAUGUGAAAGCCUAUGGCUUAACCAGAGAAGUGAAUUUGAAACUGUUAGUCUAGAGUAUGGGAGAGGUAGGUGGAAUUCCUGGUGUAGGGGUAAAAUGCGUAGAUAUAUGGAGGAACACUCAUUGCGAAGGCGACCUGCUAGAACAUAACUGACGCUGAUGCUCGAAAGCGUGGGGAGCAAACAGGAUUAGAUACCCGGGUAGUC
rnacentral:rRNA from 1 species